rnacentral:rRNA from 1 species
AUUGAACGCUGGCGGCAGGCUUAACACAUGCAAGUCGAACGAGUGGCGGACGGGUGUGCAAUUUCUGGGAAAUUGCCCGCUUGAGGGGGAUAACUACGUGAAACAGUAUCUAAUACUUCAUACCAUCGGAUGUGCCCAGAUGGGUUUAGCUAGUAGGUGGGGUAACGGCUCACCUAGGCGACGAUCCCUAGCUGGUCUGAGAGGAUGACCAGCCACACUGGAAGUGAGCCACGGUCCAGAAUCAGACGGAAGGCAGCAGUGGGGGGUAUUGCACAAUGGGCGGGAACCUGAUGCAGCCGUUCCGCGUGUAUAAAGAAAAACGUCGGGUUAUGAAGUACUUUCAGCGGGGCGGCGUUACUCGCAGAGGAAGAACCGGCUAACUCCGUGCCCGCAGCCGCGGUAAUAC